AACGAACGCUGGUGGUAUGCUUAAUACAUGCAAGUCGAACGGGCAUAGCAAUAUGUCAGUGGCAAACGGGUGAGGAAUAUAUAGGAACCUCCCUAGCAGUAAGGAAUAACUUUGGGAAACCAAAGCUAAUGCCAUAUAUUACCCCUUAAGAAAUUAAGGGGGAAAGAUCUAUCGCUGUUAGAUGGGCCUGUAUCAGAUUAGCUAGUUGGUAGGGUAAUGGCCUACCAAGGCAAUGAUCUGUAGCUGGUCUGAGAGGAUGAUCAGCCACACUGGAACUGACACACGGUCCAGACUCCGACGGGAUGCAGCAGUAGGGAAUAUUGGACAUUGGGCGCAAGCCUGAUCCACCAAUACCACGUGAGUGAUGAAGGUCUUCUGAUUGUAAAGCUCUUUUAGUAGGGAAGAUAAUGACGGUACCUACAGAAAAAGCACCGGCUAUCUUCGUGCCAGCCGCCGCCGUAA
rnacentral:rRNA from 1 species